UAGUACCGGUGAAGAUGCCGGUUUCCCGCGACAAGACGGAAAGACCCCAUGGAGCUUUACUGUAGCCUGAUAUUGGGUUUCGGUGUUGCAUGCACAGGAUAGAUGGGACGCUAGGAAGCAGAGGCUUUGGCCUUUGUGGAGCGGACGUUGGGAUACCAUCCUUGCGACAUUGGAAUUCUAACCUGCGCCCUUGAAUCAGGGCGGGGGACAUUGUCAGGUGGGCAGUUUGACUGGGGCGGUCGCCUCCUAAAAUGUAGCGGAGGCGUUCAAAGGUUCGUUCGAUCUGGACGGAAACCAGAUGAAAGAGUGCAAACGCAUAAACGAGCCUGACUGCGAGACUGACGGGUCGAGCAGAGACGAAAGUCGGAGUUAGUGAUCCGGUGGUAUGUGAGUGGAAAUGCCAUCGCUCAACGGAUAAAAGUUACCCUGGGGAUAACAGGCUGAUCUCCCCCAAGAGUCCACAUCGACGGGGAGGUUUGGCACCUCGAUGUCGGCUCAUCGCAUCCUGGGGCUGAAUUCGGUCCCAAGGGUUUGGCUGUUCGCCAAUUAAAGCGGUACGCGAGCUGGGUUCAGAACGUCGUGAGACAGUUCGGUCCCUAUCUGUCGUGGGCGCAGGAUAUUUGAAAGGCGCUGUCCCUAGUACGAGAGGACCGGGAUGGACGAACCUCUGGUGCACCAGUUGUCACGCCAGUGGCACAGCUGGGCAGCUAUGUUCGGAUCGGAUAAACGCUGAAAGCAUCUAAGCGUGAAGCCGGCCUUAAGAUAAGAUAUCCCACUGAGUCAAUCAGGUAAGACCCCUUGAAGACUACAAGGUUGAUAGGCACAAUGUGUAAGUGGAGUGAUCCAUUCAGCAAGCGUGUACUAAUAGGUCGA
rnacentral:ncRNA from 1 species